ensembl:lncRNA
AUGACGGCUGUGAGAGAACUGGUGCUGGUACUGGGCUUACUGGUGAGCGCCCACUGUGAGGUCAGAGCACGGGACCCCGAGGUGGAGGAGGACGAGGAGGAGUUGGGGGCAAAAGGAGGAGGCGGAGGAGGAGCAGCAGCGUCUCACCCCAUCUUCGAGGGGCUUCACCCGAGGGCGUCCGAGACGUCUCCUUUGGGAGACAGAGGGAACCACCCAGCCCGGACCGGGUCAAAGGUGAAGGUUGCUGUGAUCUCACGUCCGUCACAUCCUCGUAAACGUCCUCUCUCAGCAAGGCCUUCAGCGAGCAUCCUCUGGCACAACCGAGAGGUACUUCUGCUGUGACUCGAACCUCCUAAGCUCCUAAAAGAACACAACAACCAUCACAUUGCAGCCGUCACCUCGUCACAUUUCAGGUGUCAUUGUUGUGAGUUCAGCUGAAGAGGAAUGACGCCGCUGAACUUCUCACAUGGUUUCGUUUCAACAUUCAAAGACUCGAGAGGAGUCCAGAAACUGAAAACAGAUUUGACUAUCAGAACUUUCUCCUCGGUUCCUCUCUCAUCCAUCAUCUCAUGACCCUUCGGAUUUAUCUGCUGACCCUUUGCAUGGGCCUGAACACAUGCAGGUUGUGAGGGACGUGAGUUUGAUGGUCGAAGCAUAAAUCGUGGUCGUUAUAUUUUAGCUAUUAGCUUCAAAAGUACCACUUUAGAAUAAUGUGUUCAUUACUUUAAUGUUGAGCUCAUAUGAUUACUUUAAACAUUGCUGGGUACUUUAUACAUAACAGCAAUCAUCAUGUGUGAGUAUUCAUCUCAAUUUAGACGUAGUUUUAACAAAAUGUAGCGCAGUUAAAAGAACAGUAUUUCUUCCCAAAAUGUCAUAGUUAAAUAUAGUUUAAAGGUACUUUAGAGAAGUUCAGUACUUUAAACAAAUGUACUUGAAUACCUUUCAGCACAUUAUUCUAAUGUUCAACUACAACUAAUAUUCAAAUGCACUUUCCAAAAAUAUUAAAAUGCUAAAUACUCAAAUAGUCCAGAUGAAGUUAGAACUUCACACACGCGCAGUCCUUCCUGUACGAAGCAGGGAGAGCUUAAAUGUUUUGACUGCCAACAUGCUUAUAAUAGGCUGGUACCACCCAGGCUGCUGCUGACACACACACACACACACACACACACACACACACACACACACACACAUCGGACCCAGACGCCAUACAUUCAUUUUAUGAUUUCAUGAGUCUCAGGCAGACUGCAGGUGUCCUCGUUGCGUUUGUCCUCCAGGUAUCAUCACAAAUUACAAACACGUGUCAUACCUGUACAAGGACGGUGUUGACCAAUAAAACACUAAAUAAUCCUCAGACAAUAAGGAACAACGGAGCUGAGUACUUCUUCUUACACUUACACUUAUACACUUAUACUUGAGCUGGCUUUGGUUUCGGUGAUUCAUUCUUCACCACAGACCAGCGUUGUUAUGGUUACGUCUUCAAGAGACGGCAGGAUAACGUCGCUUCAGAGGAAAUCACCGACUCCACCUGCAUGCACUCUACGUCUGCAGCCUCUCGGGUCAAUGUGUUGCAGAGAUGGCUGAAGACUAAAGGUUCCGUAAAGACGAGAACACCAAGUAAAAUAAAUAUAAAAUGAGCUGGUUGGUGAAGUGACGUGUUGCAUUGAUGUGUUUCUGAGACCAAACGAGGCCUCCGUCGUCGUUCUUACCCACAUCCAUGCGUUAGACUGCAGGGCUCGUGCGCAGAUUUGCUGAUAAAAUGAUCCCUGAGGGUUCUUAACAAAACAACCCUCCAUUAGCCCCCCCCCCCCCCCCCCCCUAAGACCUCCCCACCCCUUUAAACAGCUGCCUUAAUGACAUCGUCCACAGACGGGGCUCUUUGUGCUGUUUCGUUGUAAUGGGGAGCAGCUUUCCAACGUUUGCCGUGUGGGGGGUGUAGGGGGGGGGGUACAUACUUCAGAGGUCAGACGUCAACAGGUAGUUAAGUGCUGAUGAAGUAGAGGGGGAAACGUCUGUUGUUUAACUGAAAGUUGUGAAGAUCUGAGGCUUCGGACGAACUUUUAGAAGUAUUGAGGUUUUUUUUUACAUUUUGUAAAGUAAUUUUAUUUUAAUGUCUAAUAAUUUGUAUAUUGCAUUAUUUUCCGUAUGAGGCCGUUGACUACAGUGGAACAUUUGCUACAAAACACAAUGCAUUAAAUCACACUUUCAGGUUAUUGUUUGUUAUGCAUUGUCUAUGUUAAAAUAACACAUUUUAAUUUGUAGAUUUUAUUGAAUUUCCACAUCAUCAAUAAAGGUUUUAGACUAACUUCCACGUUCCAGUUUACUUUAAUUUAACUGCGCUGAAAUCCACAGAUAAAUACAUGCUCUUAUUUUGAAGUAAAGUCUGCCCUCUUAUUUCUGUCAUGGUGGCCUUCAAGGCUAAGAGGAAUAUUAGUUCUUUAGUGCUUCUGUUGUGACCUUCAACCUACUCGAGGCUGGAGGCUCGCUGCUGAUCUUGUAAUCGAGGCCUCACUGGA